CAGUCGCCGCGGUAAAACGAACCGUGCGAACGUUAUUCGGAAUCACUGGGCUUAAAGCGCGUGUAGGCGGGCCGCCACGUCGGCUGCUGAAAUCCCCCGGCUCAACCGGGGAAGUGGCACCGAUACGAGCGGCCUGGAGGGGGGUAGGGGGGACUGGAACUUCCGGUGGAGCGGUGAAAUGCGUUGAGAUCGGAAGGAACGCCCGUGGCGAAAGCGAGUCCCUGGACCCUUACUGACGCUGAGACGCGAAAGCUAGGGGAGCGAACGGGAUUAGAUACCCCCGUAGUCCCUGUCUCUUAUA
rnacentral:rRNA from 1 species